UGGAGAGUUUGAUCCUGGCUCAGAUUGAACGCUGGCGGCAGGCCUAACACAUGCAAGUCGAGCGGCAGCGGGAAAGUAGCUUGCUACUUUUGCCGGCGAGCGGCGGACGGGUGAGUAAUGCCUGGGGAUCUGCCCAGUCGAGGGGGAUAACUACUGGAAACGGUAGCUAAUACCGCAUACGCCCUACGGGGGAAAGCAGGGGACCUUCGGGCCUUGCGCGAUUGGAUGAACCCAGGUGGGAUUAGCUAGUUGGUGAGGUAAUGGCUCACCAAGGCGACGAUCCCUAGCUGGUCUGAGAGGAUGAUCAGCCACACUGGAACUGAGACACGGUCCAGACUCCUACGGGAGGCAGCAGUGGGGAAUAUUGCACAAUGGGGGAAACCCUGAUGCAGCCAUGCCGCGUGUGUGAAGAAGGCCUUCGGGUUGUAAAGCACUUUCAGCGAGGAGGAAAGGUUGGUAGCUAAUAACUGCCAGCUGUGACGUUACUCGCAGAAGAAGCACCGGCUAACUCCGUGCCAGCAGCCGCGGUA
rnacentral:rRNA from 1 species